rnacentral:rRNA from 1 species
UUUUUAUGGAGAGUUUGAUCCUGGCUCAGGAUGAACGCUGGCGGCGUGCCUAAUACAUGCAAGUCGAGCGAACAGACGAGGAGCUUGCUCCUCUGACGUUAGCGGCGGACGGGUGAGUAACACGUGGAUAACCUACCUAUAAGACUGGGAUAACUUCGGGAAACCGGAGCUAAUACCGGAUAAUAUAUUGAACCGCAUGGUUCAAUAGUGAAAGACGGUUUUGCUGUCACUUAUAGAUGGAUCCGCGCCGCAUUAGCUAGUUGGUAAGGUAACGGCUUACCAAGGCAACGAUGCGUAGCCGACCUGAGAGGGUGAUCGGCCACACUGGAACUGAGACACGGUCCAGACUCCUACGGGAGGCAGCAGUAGGGAAUCUUCCGCAAUGGGCGAAAGCCUGACGGAGCAACGCCG